rnacentral:rRNA from 1 species
AACGAACGCUGGCGGCAGGCUUAACACAUGCAAGUCGAACGGAUCCUUCGGGAUUAGUGGCAGACGGGUGAGUAACGCGUGGGAACGUACCCUUUGCUACGGAAUAACUCAGGGAAACUUGAGCUAAUACCGUAUGUGCCCUACGGGGGAAAGAUUUAUCGGCAAAGGAUCGGCUCGCGUUGGAUUAGCUAGUUGGUGGGGUAAUGGCCUACCAAGGCGACGAUCCAUAGCUGGUCUGAGAGGAUGAUCAGCCACACUGGGACUGAGACACGGCCCAGACUCCUACGGGAGGCAGCAGUGGGGAAUAUUGGACAAUGGGCGCAAGCCUGAUCCAGCCAUGCCGCGUGAGUGAUGAAGGUCUUAGGAUUGUAAAGCUCUUUCACCGGUGAAGAUAAUGACGGUAGCCGGAGAAGAAGCCCCGGCUAACUUCGUG